rnacentral:rRNA from 1 species
GUCGAGCGGUAGCACAGAGAGCUUGCUCUCGGGUGACGAGCGGCGGACGGGUGAGUAAUGUCUGGGAAACUGCCUGAUGGAGGGGGAUAACUACUGGAAACGGUAGCUAAUACCGCAUAAUGUCGCAAGACCAAAGUGGGGGACCUUCGGGCCUCAUGCCAUCAGAUGUGCCCAGAUGGGAUUAGCUAGUAGGUGGGGUAACGGCUCACCUAGGCGACGAUCCCUAGCUGGUCUGAGAGGAUGACCAGCCACACUGGAACUGAGACACGGUCCAGACUCCUACGGGAGGCAGCAGUGGGGAAUAUUGCACAAUGGGCGCAAGCCUGAUGCAGCCAUGCCGCGUGUGUGAAGAAGGCCUUCGGGUUGUAAAGCACUUUCAGCGGGGAGGAAGGCGGUGAGGUUAAUAACCUUGUCGAUUGACGUUACCCGCAGAAGAAGCACCGGCUAACUCCGUGCCAGCAGCCGCGGUAAUACGGAGGGUGCAAGCGUUAAUCGGAAUUACUGGGCGUAAAGCGCACGCAGGCGGUCUGUCAAGUCGGAUGUGAAAUCCCCGGGCUCAACCUGGGAACUGCAUUCGAAACUGGCAGGCUAGAGUCUUGUAGAGGGGGGUAGAAUUCCAGGUGUAGCGGUGAAAUGCGUAGAGAUCUGGAGGAAUACCGGUGGCGAAGGCGGCCCCCUGGACAAAGACUGACGCUCAGGUGCGAAAGCGUGGGGAGCAAACAGGAUUAGAUACCCUGGUAGUCCACGCCGUAAACGAUGUCGAUUUGGAGGUUGUGCCCUUGAGGCGUGGCUUCCGGAGCUAACGCGUUAAAUCGACCGCCUGGGGAGUACGGCCGCAAGGUUAAAACUCAAAUGAAUUGACGGGGGCCCGCACAAGCGGUGGAGCAUGUGGUUUAAUUCGAUGCAACGCGAAGAACCUUACCUGGUCUUGACAUCCACAGAACUUUCCAGAGAUGGAUUGGUGCCUUCGGGAACUGUGAGACAGGUGCUGCAUGGCUGUCGUCAGCUCGUGUUGUGAAAUGUUGGGUUAAGUCCCGCAACGAGCGCAACCCUUAUCCUUUGUUGCCAGCGGUUCGGCCGGGAACUCAAAGGAGACUGCCAGUGAUAAACUGGAGGAAGGUGGGGAUGACGUCAAGUCAUCAUGGCCCUUACGACCAGGGCUACACACGUGCUACAAUGGCAUAUACAAAGAGAAGCGACCUCGCGAGAGCAAGCGGACCUCAUAAAGUAUGUCGUAGUCCGGAUUGGAGUCUGCAACUCGACUCCAUGAAGUCGGAAUCGCUAGUAAUCGUAGAUCAGAAUGCUACGGUGAAUACGUUCCCGGGCCUUGUACACACCGCCCGUCACACCAUGGGAGUGGGUGCAAAAGAAGUAGGUAGCUUAACCUUCGGGA